UGGGGAAUUUUGGACAAUGGGGGCAACCCUGAUCCAGCCAUUCCGCGUGAGUGAAGAAGGCCUUCGGGUUGUAAAGCUCUUUUGUUCGGGACGAAACGGUUUCACCUAAUACGUGAGACUACUGACGGUACCGGAAGAAUAAGCACCGGCUAACUACGUGCCAGCAGCCGCGGUAAUACGUAGGGUGCGAGCGUUAAUCGGAAUUACUGGGCGUAAAGCGUGCGCAGGCGGUUUUAUAAGCCAGAUGUGAAAUCCCCGGGCUCAACCUGGGAAUGGCAUUUGGGACUGUAAGGCUGGAGUAUGGCAGAGGAGACUAGAAUUCCUGGUGUAGCAGUGAAAUGCGUAGAUAUCAGGAGGAAUACCGAUGGCGAAGGCAGGUCUCUGGGUCAAUACUGACGCUCAUGCACGAAAGCGUGGGGAGCAAACAGG
rnacentral:rRNA from 1 species